CUUCAGUGAUGUUUGAUGACGAGUCUGAUGGGAAUAUGACUUGUAUCAGGAUUCCUGAUACAGUUGGCAUGUUCUGUGCUGCUGAUUUCAGGGUCCUGAACAAUAUGUCCUUUGAUGACUCAGGCAUUUGUCUGAGAAGG